GAUGAACGCUGGCGGCGUGCCUAAUACAUGCAAGUCGAGCGAAUGGAUUAAGAGCUUGCUCUUAUGAAGUUAGCGGCGGACGGGUGAGUAACACGUGGGUAACCUGCCCAUAAGACUGGGAUAACUCCGGGAAACCGGGGCUAAUACCGGAUAACAUUUUGAACCGCAUGGUUCGAAAUUGAAAGGCGGCUUCGGCUGUCACUUAUGGAUGGACCCGCGUCGCAUUAGCUAGUUGGUGAGGUAACGGCUCACCAAGGCAACGAUGCGUAGCCGACGGGGGAGGGUGAGCGGCCACACUGGGACUGAGACACGGCCGAGACUCCUACGGGAGGUAGCAGUAGGGAAUCUUCCGCAAUGGACGAAAGUCUGACGGAGCAACGCCGCGUGAGUGAUGAAGGCUUUCGGGUCGUAAAACUCUGUUGUUAGGGAAGAACAAGUGCUAGUUGAAUAAGCUGACACCUUGACGGUACCUAACCAGAAAGCCACGGCUAACUACGUGCCAGCAGCCGCGGUAA
rnacentral:rRNA from 1 species